ACAAAAGCAAGAAAACCAGGUAGGUACGAUGAUGGGGGUGUGCGGCCUUUUUACCAUACAUCUGUCCCAGAUAUCUUUUCUCAAAUCGGGAGACUGAGUGGGAAGAAAAGAGAAGUAUGGUUUACAGAUCAAGAAUUUAAUCACAUUCAUACUUACAUCCUCCGGAACUGUGACGAUGUCAUACCAUUCGAGAAGAUCUUUGAUGAUCAAGUGUCUGGAGCGUAUCCAAACAUGACAGAGGCUCGAAAAGAGGAAAUGAAGCAGACACAAUAUGCUAAUUGGUUAAAAUAUUAUAUCAAAUCAGCCGCAAGUAGGCAGGAACACUAUCCAACAUGGUUUGAAGAGUUGGUUGGAGGUCCUCUAUCAAGGGCAAUGGCAUACCCGAUGUAUUGCACUCGAGGCUACGUUUUCAUAAAACGUCCAGGGAUUACUAACAGAAAAACAGUGAAUUAUGGGGUCGUUGUUCGUACAGAUUCGAUAGACUACUAUGGUGAAAUUACUGAUAUAUUAGA